CACUCCCAUGUGUAUUCAGGAACUGUUAGAAAAAAGAUCCCUAGUGUCCAGUUGCACCUGUGGAUUUUGCCUAGUUGAAUGACUGUCCUGGCCACUCUGGAAAUUGCAAACCAGUUUUCUCGAUGAAUACGUGGACCUCAGUGCUGCCAAGAAACCAAGAAAGAAGUGUUGACAGCAGGAGAGGUCUACAAGAAGCAACGAUUCUGGAAACUUCUGUCAAGUGACAGCAAUUGAUGGGAAAAUUUGAGGAGUUAGAAGUGCUUCACGUUAGCUGUGCAAAGGACAAGUGCAGUCUGUCAAAUUGGAGGCUGGUUUGGUGUGGAGCACUAAUUACUGUCUUUGCUGGUCUUUGAUGGAGAUCACAGUAAUGACUUGGGAGGAAUUACAUCUCAUUUCUUUUGGCAGCAGAGAAGUGAUUGCUCUCAAGGAGGGAGAAAAUUCAAAGAUUGAGGUUAUAAAGCUCAAGAAUCGUGACAUUUCCCCAAAGAUCACUAUGUUCCGAAGAAGCUGCCAGGACAGGGGAAGUGACGAAAUAUUGACGCCUUGCUUAUUCUGGCCAAUCAAGAGGCAGUGUCACGCAUCCCUGUGUGGAUCCCAAAAGGUGUCAGAACACAGUGGGGUAGGUGCUAGCAAAUUCUAA
rnacentral:lncRNA from 12 species